CUCUCUCCCACUUCCCGUUGCCGGCGGCGGCGCCCUCCUUCCCUCGCCCUCUUCUCCUCCCCUCCUCACGGCUCCUCCAUCAUGCCACGAAUCCCGGCGACCCACCCCGUCUUCGCGCCCGCCCGAGUCCCAUCCAUGUCCGCGCCGGCUUCGUCUCUGUCUCCUUUCGUGGGAGGUGACCCGCACCCGGCCCCGCGGCUGGGGAGGGGCGGCGGCGGCCUCGUGUAGAUCCCAUCGAGAUCCCGUCCAGAUCACGGCGCGGACGCAUGCCCUAGAUGCCAUGACCUGUCUCCCUUCCCUUCUCUACUCAGGAAGGAGAGGCUAGGCGCCGGACAUGCACUCGCUCUGCCUGGGACGCCGCUCGCCAUCAAGGCAGGAGGCCGGCAACACGGUGGUGAUGAUGCCAGAGUUCAGCGCGGACAAUCCCUGCUCGAUUCGCCCAGGCUCGAGAUACACCGAUCCCUCGGCUCUGCUGGUUCUCCCCGACUUAGAAUGAGGCUGCUCUGGACGAAGCAGAGGACUCUGGGGAGAAGGCUUCCAUCAAGGAAGCAGACAAGUACUGCAAGGCCAUCAUCGGGAGGCUGUCGCGCGGCGCCACCUGCCUGAAGGGCAGCCUGCUGGUCAUCGCCCUUGCAGUCGGGGCUGGCUUCAUGCUCUACCCCAACCUGGACCUCACCGCCGACCUGGAGCAGCUCCAGGCGAUGGCGUUAUUCUUGUUUGAAGCUAAGCUAGGCUACUGCAGUUCCAGCAAAAAGCAGGGGAGCAGCUCUUUUCUUUCUUCACUAAUAAAUUCUUGUUUGAAUGCAUAUCCUGGGGGUGGUGAAGCUGGGAGCCUUUCCUCCCCAUAAAAAUGCUUUGCUCUUCAUUAUGAGCAGUGCCCUUAUAUAAUUAGCUGCUAGGAGUGUUUAUAUACUUGAUCACCAUACCUCUAUUGUUCUGGUUACUUUUGCUUUCUUCUAUGUAGUUGUCCAGGGCAUAACAGGACCAGUUUGCUAGUUGUCCAAAAAAAGAUUUUACUUACUUCUACUACUCGUACUUAGUUCAAGACUUGAAGAGUUCAGUAAAUAAUUUUCCCAGCUUAUUUAAUUCUACUUAUGUUCCUAUGGUUGAUCUCGUGGUCCCUUUGUCCGGCUUAUGCAUGUUGAACGCCCCCAUUUAGGUUGCUUGGCCGUGUUAGGCCAAAUUGUUGUUUGUCAGCAUUCUGUCAUUCAGUGUGCUUGUGCUUGUGCUCCGCCAAUUAUCAGGUACACCUCACCUCACCUUGUGUGGGUCACUUGUUAGUAGUGGAUAGGAUCAUGCUAGGAAUUGAGCUGUCGUGUUCAACUUUCUGUAGCUUGUUGUCAUGUGAGCUCACCAACCCAGCUUGCAUCUGCAGUAAUUGUCAAGACCUCGUGUUGCAUUUCUAGCUUCUGAACCUCAUGCUGUGCUAUUGGUUGGUUGCUUGCAGGGGCGCCAGGGAGACGACGCCGUGCAGCCUGAUCUACAGCUCGAAGACGAUGAGCACCCCAGGCUGGGCGACCGGAGCCAGGAACCAUUCCCGACGCAGCUCUCUCGAGAUGGACGAGUUCUUCGCUGCCGCCACCGAGCAGCAGCAACACCAGAGCUUCAGGGAGAAGUAUAACUUCUGCUCCCGGGAUGGUACGAGUGGACGGUGCUAGACUGCUAGGGCUCUCGAGGUUGAUCUCUGUAAUUGUUCUGUUGUAAUGCUAGAAUGUUCUGUUGUGCUAGACUGUUCUGUUGUAAUGACCAGCCAGCCCCAAACGACCGGCCACCAUCAGCAGCAGCAGCAGCAUAUCAUGUCAUGGGCGCCAUGCAAAUGCAGUCAGUCAGUAGUAGCUCAGCCAGCCAGCCAGCCUCUUGAG